rnacentral:rRNA from 1 species
GAUGAACGCUGGCGGCGUGCUUAACACAUGCAAGUCGAACGAAGCACUUAAGACGGAUUCUUCGGAUGAAGGCUUUUGUGACUGAGUGGCGGACGGGUGAGUAACGCGUGGGUAACCUGCCUCAUACAGGGGGAUAACAGUUAGAAAUGGCUGCUAAUACCGCAUAAGCGCACAGUACCGCAUGGUACGGUGUGAAAAACUCCGGUGGUAUGAGAUGGACCCGCGUUGGAUUAGCUAGUUGGGAGGGUAACGGCCUACCAAGGCGACGAUCCAUAGCCGGCCUGAGAGGGUGGACGGCCACAUUGGGACUGAGACACGGCCCAGACUCCUACGGGAGGCAGCAGUGGGGAAUAUUGCACAAUGGGGGAAACCCUGAUGCAGCGACGCCGCGUGAGCGAAGAAGUAUUUCGGUAUGUAAAGCUCUAUCAGCAGGGAAGAAGAUGACGGUA